UACAGAGGGUGCGAGCGUUAAUCGGAAUUACUGGGCGUAAAGCGCACGUAGGCGGCUUGGUAUGUCGGGUGUGAAAUCCCCGGGCUCAGCCUGGGAACUGCAUCCGAAACUGCCUUGCUAGAGUAUGGGAGAGGGAAGUGGAAUUUCCGGUGUAGCGGUGAAAUGCGUAGAUAUCGGAAGGAACAUCAGUGGCGAAGGCGACUUCCUGGACCAAUACUGACGCUCAGGUGCGAAAGCGUGGGGAGCAAACAGG
rnacentral:rRNA from 1 species